AGUGAACGCUGGCGGCAGGCCUAAUACAUGCAAGUCGAACGGCAGCACAGCAGAGCUUGCUCUGUGGGUGGCGAGUGGCGGACGGGUGAGGAAUACGUGGGAACCUGCCCAGUCGAGGGGGAUAACGUAGGGAAACUUACGCUAAUACCGCAUGCGCCCUUUGGGGGAAAGCCGGGGAUCUUCGGACCUGGCGCGAUUGGAUGAGCCCACGUCGGAUUAGCUAGUUGGAGGGGUACAGGCCGACGAAGGCGACGAUCCGUAGCUGGUCUGAGAGGAUGAUCAGCCACACGGGAACUGAGACACGGUCCAGACUCCUACGGGAGGCAGCAGUAGGGAAUAUUGGACAAUGGGCGCAAGCCUGAUCCAGCCAUGCCGCGUGAGUGAAGAAGGCCCUCGGGUUGUAAAGCUCUUUUGUUGGGGAAGAAAAGCCGUAGGUUAAUACCCUGAAGUUCUGACGGUACCUAAAGAAUAAGCACCGGCUAACUUCGUGCCAGCCGCCGCCGUAAUAC
rnacentral:rRNA from 1 species